GCAAGUGUAGCAUAAUUGGUUAAUGCUCCUACCUUCCAAGUAGACUACUGCGAGUUCGAGUCUCGCCACUUGCA
rfam:Parasitella parasitica strain CBS 412.66 genome assembly, contig: contig_37